GCCAGACUCCUACGGGAGGCAGCAGUGGGGAAUAUUGCACAAUGGGGGAAACCCUGAUGCAGCGACGCCGCGUGAGUGAAGAAGUAUUUAGGUAUGUAAAGCUCUAUCAGCAGGAACGAGACAAGACGGUACCUGACUAAGAAGCCCCGGCUAACUACGUGCCAGCAGCCGCGGUAAUACGUAGGGGGCAAGCGUUAUCCGGAAUCACUGGGUGUAAAGGGAGCGUAGACGGCUGUGCAAGCCUGAAGUGAAAGGCGGGGGCCCAACCCCUGGACUGCUUUGGGAACUGUACGGCUGGAGUGCAGGAGAGGUAAGUGGAAUUCCUAGUGUAGCGGUGAAAUGCGUAGAUAUUAGGAGGAACACCAGUGGCGAAGGCGGCUUACUGGACUGUAACUGACGUUGAGGCUCGAAAGCGUGGGGAGCAAACAGGAUUAGAUCCCCCAGUA
rnacentral:rRNA from 1 species